GGUGCGUUAGUUAAAUUGGUAUAACCACAUGCUACGGACAUGUUCUUACAAGUUCGAGUCUUGUGCGCACCU
rnacentral:tRNA from 1 species